rnacentral:misc_RNA from 1 species
UCCGGUUUGUCACCGGCAGUCACGUUAGAGUGCCCGGCUUUACCCGUUGGCAACUAACAUCGAGGGUUGCGCUCGUUGCGGGACUUAACCCAACAUCUCACGACACGAGCUGACGACAACCAUGCACCACCUGUACACCGACCACAAGGGGGCGCCUGUCUCCAGACGUUUCCGGUGUAUGUCAAGCCUUGGUAAGGUUCUUCGCGUUGCAUCGAAUUAAUCCACAUGCUCCGCCGCUUGUGCGGGCCCCCGUCAAUUCCUUUGAGUUUUAGCCUUGCGGCCGUACUCCCCAGGCGGGGCGCUUAAUGCGUUAGCUACGGCACGGAUUCCGUGGAAGGAACCCACACCUAGCGCCCACCGUUUACGGCGUGGACUAC